rnacentral:tRNA from 1 species
CGCGGGGUAGAGCAAUUGGUAGCUCGUCGGGCUCAUAACCCGAAGGUUGCAGGUUCAAGUCCUGCCCCCGCUAC